GAAAAGAAAAAGAAACCAUGUAAAAAUAGGGUUGCCAGGAAAUUAUUCAGGACAGAUUCACUGUUGUAAAGUAUAUUCUUGUUAGACAGUUACAGUUGAGUUGUUUGAAUAAAACAGAUAUAUUCCAGAUAAAAAAUUCAUAGUACUCAAUCAUAAAUGAUUAAAUAUCUCUGGGAAAGUUAUCAAAAAAUAUUGGUAAUUAUUUCAUCACUGUUAAAAAUAAUGACUUAUUCCUUUUAUUUCCUAUUCAAAAAAUUAUGUCUUGAGGAAUAUGGUGGUGUUAUCAAAAAUUACACAUUUUAACACUGUUAAUACAGUUUGGCAAUUAUGUUCAAACUCAUCACACGUGGAUUAAGAGUCCUUGGGUUAAUACCUUAAUGAACAACAGGGGACUAAACCAGCCCAUUUUUUCUUUUCCCAUGAGACAUUAACUAUAAAAGCUUUAAAACUCAUCAAGAAGCUUGCUCUCUAACUAAAAUGUCUGCACAUUCAAACACACAUUAUUAACCCAUUUUAACAUAUUCUUUUGAUUUGUAAUGAAUUUCAACAUUUUAAUUUUAGAUAAAACUCCAAAUCAAGAGUGGAAGCAGAAUUCUGAAUUUUUAUUUCCAAAAUAAGACCUGUUCUAUGCCUUAGCUGCAGAUCAAAUCCAUGAUUCAUGGCUACAGAUUCUACAGAACAAGAUCAGAAUUAAGGACACGGUAUUGGAAGCAAUACUGUGUUACAUCACAGAGUGGUCGAGGUUGGAAAGGACCUCUGGAAGUCAUCUGGGCCAAUCCCCCAGUCAAGCAGGGAUACCCACAGCUGGUUGCCCAGGACCAUGUCCAGAUGGUUUCUUCUGAGUAUCUCCAAGGUGGGAGACUCCACAACGUCCCUGGGCAACCUGUGCCAGUGCUUGGUCACCCUCACAGUGCAAAAAUGUUCCCUGAUGUUCUCUGAAGACAUUCCCUCUGGUCCUGUCACCAGGCACCACUAAAAAAAGCCUGGCUCUGUCCUCUUUGCAGCCUCACUUCAGGCAUUUGUAUACGUUGAUGAGAUUCUCCCCUCCCCCAGCCUUCUCUAAUAGUCCUAGCUCUCUCAGCCUUUCCUCAUAUAAGAGAUGCUCAUAAAAGGAAACCAAUAUAUUAAGGCUUCCUCCAUACACAAACUAAGUACAAACAAUUAUGUCUCUACCAACUAGAGCAAUUUGUUGAAAAGCAAGGUCAAACUCUACUCACAUGUUUUUUCCGACUCCCUUAUCAUGGUGCCCAAUUUCCUGAAGUCCUAACACAAUAUGUUUUCAUUCCAUGCACAGCUUGGCUGUGUCAUAUUUGUAUUGCAGCAUUCAGCCUAACCUACUUAAAAUGUGAACAACUGCACUAUGAAGGCUGACCCAAGCCAUGCUGUCCCCACAGAUGAUGGUACUCUCCUGUGGAAGGUACUAAGGCUGCUGAAAGUUCACCUCAUGUUCUUUUUGCCACACCAACCUGGACGAUUUUAUUAUUCUUUUUCACUGAUCUUCUUCACUGAUCACUGUCUUUCUUGACAUAAAGAGUUAUUAGAGUGCUGAAGAAUUACAACAUAGUAACUAGAAUAAUUUUAGCUUUCACGUAUACUGCAAAAAAGUUGACCUAUGCCCCAUGGUAAACACCAAUCCAAAACACUGUAAACCAAAAUGAGAACACUGUGCGGUCUGCAGGCGAAAAGAUGUUUAGAGCAACAACCUGUUAAGAGUCCGUAUCAACUCAGCAAUGAAAAGAAACUUAUUACUUCUCCUCCAAGGAGAAAGUACCCUACAGCAGAACUCACGAUAUAAACCUCUCUUAAAUUAAGAAUUGUGGAAGUGCUCUCAGACCCAAGUAUUUCACUGACCAUCUUCACAAAUAACUAAAACUAUAAUAAAGCUAUUAUCUAACCUUCUGUACAGCCCCAUGACAAAGUCCACAUCAGGGCAGUUGAUGUGCUAAGGAAACUCAGUUCAUGUGCUGAAAACCACAUAGAAGAGUUAAGUUUUAAAUGUUAAGGAGGCUAAAGACAGGUAGAAGUCAAAGAUAGAGAAGGCAUGUUUAAAGAAAGAAACGUAACUAUUGUAAAUAAAAAACCCUUUGAAAUCAGGCCUUCCCUGGCCAUCAGAAAUAUGAUAGUUUUGGAGCAGCUCUCUUGCAUUACCACAGGCAAACAAUCUACCUAGUUUUAAACUUGAUAUACUCUUUCUGGAAGUGUGAACUAGCUGCCUGUGAUGGCACCAAGCUGAGUUUAAUGGCUGAAAGAAAGUCUCUUCUUGGCUGUUUCAGAAUUAAAAGGAGUUUCAGUAGAAGUUCUCUUAUUUCUGUAUGUUUCUAAUAACAUGUAAGGAAAAAACUUGCAUGAAAAAGUUUGUGAAGGAAUGCAUAGGCAUGCAAAUCAGAACUGCCCUCUAAUACUAGAUUUUAUGACAACUAGUUUCCCUGCUAGCCUGUCUCCUGCUGUUACAAAAGAAAUAUGCUGUACACAUUUCCCUUCCUCACAUAUACAUCUCAUAUAAGGAAAGUGCAACAAGAACCACCCACACACUUUGCAAAACAAAACCAAGACAUUUGUGUGUAAACUGACAAAGUAAACUGACAAAGAGGACCACCACCACCACAGGUUAGAGUUACUCCCAGGUAAGCCAUUUUUGACAACCUCUGACACUUCAUCUGCUUGUAAGAAAACUAAGACUAUUUUUAAUUUUCUUUUUUUUUUCCAAUUAUAUACAAACACCUAAUAUUGAUUAAAAUAAUGCCUUCAGCUCAAAUCAGCAGGAUGAGUUUCCCUUGAAAUUUGCUGUAGUAAAUAACAUCUGCAAUUUGCUCUGAAGGCUUUUAGUUGCAGUUAGGGCAAACAAUUACACACACAAAAUGAUAUCUAACUGUCUUCUUCCAGAGCCUUUUACUUCGUAGAACAAAUAUUACCCUAUUUAAAAAAAAACAACAAGCACAUACAUAAAACAAGCCCCCACAGAAAACAAUUUCCUAUGCUCUUCAGCAAAAGUUUUGUUGCAGAAUAAAAGAAGUCAAUGAUGCUAUUAAAUAAACAGCUGCAAAUCACAAGUAGCUAACUAAAACACACAACUUUACUUUCCUACUUCCCUUUCUCUAUUUUCAGGCUCCCUCCCUUCAGCAAAUGUAAGCAGUUACAUAAAUCUUGAAAAAUGCCUGGCGAAUUUACAAAGCUAUUUAGCUUCAUAUGCCAGGCACCAACAACCAUUAGGUUGCCGUAGACACCUUUUGCCUGUCUUCACCAACCUCAAACUACACUUGAAGUUUCCUAAGUUGUCAGCCUACACUGUUUCCUCUAUUCAUUGAACAUAGCUCUCACUCCAUAAAUCGUCAAUGCCUGCUCAGGUUUCUGGCACAGUAUACAAAGAUGUACUGUAAUCCCAUUAAUUUCAUCUUAUGAGAAAAGCUGCAGAGACAGCUGCAGAAAGGCAACAACAACAAAAAUCUGUCCAAAAAUGCUGAGCACCUGCUUUCAACAAAGUGGUCAAUUCUCUAGUAAAGUGCUGAUUUCUACCAAAUGUUAGAAAAAUGCCGAAUUAUUCGGCUGUUAAACUGCAGACUAGAUAGAGCUCUGAAUGGAGCAGAAUGGGACAGAAUACACCUCUCUUGCUUCAGGUUCUCUUCAGAGAUAGACAGACAACACAUCUGCUUUACACAUUUACAUUUGAGGGCUUUUUCUUUUUUGCAAUCACUAUUACUAUUUAUACAUAUUACAAUAAUGGCUAAUGGCCUCAACUAUGAAUCCUUAUGCAACAUGCUGUAUCACAUAUAAUACGAACAAGAGCUCCACUUUUCAACUCCUAGUAAACAGGGCUAGACCUGGACCUAAGCAUAAUUCUGCAUCAAAUUUUAGAAAUCAAGAAAUUGUGCCUGCAAGAAGUUUCAUAAACUUCAAUUACAAACUCAAUUAACUCCAAUAAAAAAAAAAGGAAACAAGAACUGCUUUAUAAUGAAAGUUUAAGAGAAGUUUCAUCUGCAAUCACACACAAAUGCUGCUGGUAUCCCCAUUACAAUUAAUAAGAGUUUUCACUAUAUAUGAAAAGAAACACAAGGCCAAAACCUAAAAUAAAAUCCUUUGAUACUCCAUCACAACUCUAGUAAGAAGUUCUAUUGCAAAAACGCUUCUUUGUCAAUGCCAGCAGGCUUCUACAGCAAAGUUCUGUCCAUUAGAAGCUUUUAGCCAGAUUAAAAAAGCAUAUGCUAAACUCUUCUUACACAUCCCCCUUAUAGUAAGGUAGAAA